rnacentral:lncRNA from 1 species
AAAGCUAGGACGGUCCGCCGAGGCUCGGAGGUGGAGGCGCAGCGCUCUGGAGGCGAGGUGAGGCGCAGCCAGGUGUGACUCGCCCAUGUCAGGUGGGCAUUCGGGUCUAGGGAUGCCAGUAUUGCUGCGGUGACCACCGAGGACACUGCUUUUGAUCUGGGGCUCGGAUUGACGGAGACAUCCUACAACCCGGCCUCCUCCGAUCAUUUUAGGCCGAAGUCUCCUUACCGUAGGCCUGGAUUGUGGAGUUUAAACCCUUUGCCACACUGGUCCUGGGCCAAGAUGGGCCAAUCAAAGUCCUUACCCAGAAUUUUUUGAACUGAAAUUGAGAGAGAAUCCCUCUUCAGUAUGGAAGCCAUAAAAUGUAAAACACAGGAGCUGUCAGCAGCCAUGUGUCCUGCAGUACGGAGCCAGCUGGUCUGCUGUGAGAAGGAAGCCGCCGUGCCAGAGGCAGCAGAGGUGAGAAACUGAGUGACAGUCACGGAAGCUCCCCAGCCCGUGGUGCAGUUGUUGCUGAAGCUCCACCUCCCCUCCGUGGUUUGUUCAACCCUUCCUUGGAUUCAGUGAGCCAGAGAACCUGGACACACUCAUCCUUGGCCUACAUUACUUCAAAUUGAGGCCCUACCACUUACAAACUCUAUUACCUAGGGCUCUCUACAGGGACAGAAUUGAUAGGAUUAUAUGUAUAUAAAUAAAGGGUUUGUGUCAGAGUGCCUUACAGGCUAUAGUGGCUAGUCCCACAAUGGUUGUUUCUUGGCAGAAAAGCCAAGAAUCCUGUAAUGCUCAGUCCACGCUAUGUUGGAAUCCCGAAGAUGUUGGUUCUAAUUCCAGUGAAGGAUUGCCUCAGCAGCAAGGUAGAUGAACUUACCAGCAAGAGUAAGGGCAAGCAGGCAAGAAGCAGAAGCUUCCUUCUUUCAUGUCUUCUGUGGGCUGCCACGAAAACUGUGACCCAGAUUCAGGGUAGGUUGUCUUCCCCUCAAGUGGUCAAAUCAAGGAAACCCAAGUUACCAAGGGAGAGUAGUCAUCAUAUGACAUAUAGGCCUAAUUAUAACUAUUAUCCUUUUUUGCUCCUUUCAGCUGUGGUAAAAUACACAUAAAUGUAUCAUUUAAUCGUUUUUAAGUGUAUGCUUUUUGUUGUUUAAUAAAUUCUGUCGUAUACCCAAACCCAUUUAUUAUAUGCAUUAAACAUCACUGCACUGCCCUAAGCCCAGCCCCUGUCAGCUAGUCAUCUUUCCUUGAAUUUGAUUACUAGAGGUAUCCCAUAUGGUUGGAAUCAUGGAGUAGGUAUCUUUUCAGAUGGCUUAUUUCCCUUAGCAUAAUGUCCUCAGUGUUCAUCUAUUUUACAACAUGUUAGAAUUUCCUCCUGUUAAGUGAAUCUUCCAUUUUGUGUGCAUAUUAUAUAUGUAUAAACAUUGUCUGUCAG